rnacentral:rRNA from 1 species
UACGUAGGGGGCGAGCGUUGUCCGGAUUUAUUGGGCGUAAAGAGCGUGUAGGCGGCCCGGUAAGUCCGCUGUGGAAAUCCAGGGCUCAACCCUGGGAUGCCGGUGGAUACUGUCGGGCUCGAGUCCGGAAGAGGAGUGUGGAAUUCCUGGUGUAGCGGUGAAAUGCGCAGAUAUCAGGAGGAACACCAAUGGCGAAGGCAGCACUCUGGGACGUGACUGACGCUGAGACGCGAAAGCGUGGGGAGCAAACAGG